rnacentral:rRNA from 1 species
CCAAUAGCGUAUAUUAAAGUUGUUGCAGUUAAAAAGCUCGUAGUUGAAUUUCGGGAUUGACACAUCGGUCGUGCCUUAAGGGGUAUGAACUGGUGUAGUCAAUUUCUCACCUUCUGGAGAACCGCGAUGCCCUUAAUUGGGUGUCACGGGGAACCAGGACCUUUACUUUGAAAAAAUCAGAGUGUUUAAAGCAGGCAUUUUGCUUGAAUACAUUAGCAUGGAAUAAUAAAAUAGGACGGCAUGAUUCUAUUUUGUUGGUUUCUAGGAUCACCGUAAUGAUUAAUAGGGAUAGUUGGGGGCAUUAGUAUUCAAUUGUCAGAGGUGAAAUUCUUGGAUUUAUUGAAGACUAACUACUGCGAAAGCAUUUGCCAAGGAUGUUUUCAUUAAUCAAGAACGAAAGUUAGGGGAUCGAAGACGAUCAGAUACCGUCGUAGUCUUAACCAUAAACUAUGCCGACUAGGAAUCAGACGAUGUUAAUUUUUUAAUGACUCGUUUGGCACCUUACG